UGGCGAACGGGUGAGUAGCACGUGGGCAACCUGCCCAAAAGAGGGGGAUAACACUUGGAAACAGGUGCUAAUACCGCAUAACCAUAGUUACCGCAUGGUAACUAUGUAAAAGGUGGCUAUGCUACCGCUUUUGGAUGGGCCCGCGACGCAUUAGCUAGUUGGUGGGGUAAAGGCUUACCAAGGCAAUGAUGCGUAGCCGAACUGAGAGGUUGAUCGGCCACAUUGGGACUGAGACACGGCCCAAACUCCUACGGAAGGCAGCAG
rnacentral:rRNA from 1 species